UACGAAGGGGGCUAGCGUUGUUCGGAAUCACUGGGCGUAAAGCGCACGUAGGCGGAUCUUUAAGUCAGGGGUGAAAUCCCGAGGCUCAACCUCGGAACUGCCUUUGAUACUGGGGAUCUCGAGUCCGGGAGAGGUGAGUGGAACUGCGAGUGUAGAGGUGAAAUUCGUAGAUAUUCGCAAGAACACCAGUGGCGAAGGCGGCUCACUGGCCCGGAUCUGACGCUGAGGUGCGAAAGCGUGGGGAGCAAACAGG
rnacentral:rRNA from 1 species